GUACACCGGUGUUACAUGGACUGAAAAUCCUCGUGUCGACGGUUCGAUUCCGCCCCUGGGCACCA
rnacentral:tRNA from 1 species